GAAAUGCGAUAAGUAAUGUGAAUUGCAGAAUUCAGUGAAUCAUCGAAUCUUUGAACGCAUCUUGCGCUCCUUGGUAUUCCUUGGAGCAUGCCUGUUUGAGUAUCAUGAAAUCUUCAAAGUAAAUCUUUUGUUAACUCAAUUGGUUUCUACUUUGGUAUUGGAGGUCUUUGCAGCUUCACACCUGCUCCUCUUUGUUCAUUAGCUGGAUCUCAGUGUUAUGCUUGGUUCCACUCGGCUUGAUAAGUUAUCUAUCGCUGAGGACACUGUAAAAGGUGGCCAAGGUAAAUGCAGAUGAACCGCUUCUAAUAGUCCAUUGACUUGGACAAUACUUUUAUGAUCUGAUCUCAAAUCAGGUAGGACUACCCGCUGAACUUAAGC
rnacentral:misc_RNA from 1 species